AUAGUGGCCACAAUGUGCAUCACAUCAGCCUGAUCUCUCUGCAUUCUUGUGUUGUCUAGCUCUGAGUUAAGAUGUCCUAACAGGCACUUUGCUGCCAUAGUUUUCCAUUUAAAAGUGAUUGCUGCCCGCUCAUGUUGUGUUAGGGUCCAACGGUGAACUGCACCCUUGUUCAGAGAGAACCUACUGAUGCCUCCCUUUGUCUUGGAGUCAUGAUUGUCUGUUUGCUCAAUGACUUGAUCACAUGCAGUGCUGGCAAAACCAUGACUUUGAUGUCUUUGUGCCACAAAGUCACCUGAAAGAAGCUGUUGGUGUGGUCAUUUCAACCCAGUAUGCCGUCAAAUACCUGGCAGAGUUUACUUUGUCACAGGCAAAAAACCAGGGCAGCAUACUUUGCACAGUGGACAAAUGGAGAGCCCAGUUCCCCUCUCUUGUUACCCUGAUGAAAAGAAGCAAAUCUGCCAUCAUGUCAAGGUAUGUGCUCCAAAAUGCAAAUGUGUAGUUACAGUUGUUUUUUUACCACAAAUUCCUCAUAACCUAGCAGUAAUUGCUGAAAUGUGUCUGAUGUUAGCAUGACCUUGAACUCUUCAGAGGGAAAACAUUCCUGCAUAUCUGUUGCCACUUUUAAAGCAGCUGCAUUUUGUUAUUGUGUGAGUGUUUCCAAGUAUGCCCACCAGCGCAGUUUCUUGAGUGCUUCCAGCAGGAGUUUGUGAGCCCGUAUGCUCCUGUUGUAGUGAUGGCCAGAGAUUACUCCAUUGAUUGAGCCUGCGGCCACCAGGUCGGACUCAAUCAAGAUAUCCUGAAAGCCAGCAUCACCAUACAACUUUCCUAUGCAUUACAGAUAUGCCAUUGCUGUGUGGAACUCUCCCAUCCUCACUACAAUUCUAUCUGAGCUGUUAGCAAUGGCAAUGGAGCGGCUCAGGAUGGUGUGGACAGUGUUGAGGUCAGUCAGGCUGGGGUCAAUAACUGGUAGGUAAACAACAUAUGUUGAUGGUUGGUCUGUGUCUUCCUUCAACAUGAUAUUAAACCUUGUCCAUCCAGGGAGGACUUUGCCCUGGGCCUCAGGUACUUUCAGUAAAAAGAAUACAGAAUCAUUUAUUCUACCAGUAGUUUGGGAAUAUCUGUAUUGAUCCUGCUGGAGAUCUAUCUUCAAUGCAAAAUUCUGUGGACCAGACCGCUUUCCUCUUGUGUAGGUUGAAAGAUUCAGUGGAGGAGGAUGAAUAGACCGCUCUCGUGUUCUCUGUCUGGGUAAUGUGGCUGCUGAGCAAGGGCAGUAUCAUGCUCAAGGACCUGGGAAUUGGAUGAGCAGUGACCCAGGCCAUUUAACAACCCUAUAAGCUGUGCAGAGCCAGUCAUAUGCUGAACUGCCAUUGCAAGUGAGCACUGUUUUGGCAUGAGCCACCGUACUCUGGUUGCCAGGGUAAUGUCUUGACAAGUGGCCACUAUCUUUCUGCUGUCCUCUAAAGUGACAUCAACACAUUCAUCUGAUGGUGACAUUCCUGAUGUCCAUGAAAUUAAGUUAAAAAGUUGGUGAGGCACUACACUCAGGGCAUUUUCCAGUGUGAGGUCACCUGCGGUGAGAGGCCAUGAAUGCUUUGUUAAUUUUAUUGAUGUCUUUUGAAUUAUUUCUUUAGAAUCAUUGCUGCAUGAUAAAACGCCUGAGAAUCAUCUGUGUUGGUGGCAUUUUCUUUUUCAAUAUCUACUUGACUUGUAUUUUUUCCUCACUUUCUUUGCAAUUUUCACUCUCUGUGUUUCUUCCACAGUUUUUUUAAAAAACAAAUUCAGCUUUGAUAGUCGCAGUACUUCACGUUGUUUUAACAGCCUUUCCUUAAUGACUGUUUUGCAGAAGUGCUUGUAUCCAUUUGCAUAUGUUCAUUUCUGUUCUCUCAAUCUUGUAUGGUGAGGUACCGGGUAUAAUCUCGAUAGCAGGUAAAGUGAUACCCACCAAAUCCCUGUCUUGGAUAUGGAGAAGGAGUGACUCAUCCCUUCUCCCUUCAGCUGGCAAGAAGUAAUUUCCCGGCAUGUAGUGUUUCACACCGUGUUAACUUUUCUUUUACCCUUUUCUGCUGUGUGUCUGAACCUUAUACUUCUCAUGUUUGCAAAUAAUGCACUGGAAGCAGGUGUAGGGGCCGCUUGGACGUGUGAAGAUCACAGGCAAAAGACUUCAAGGCCCAUGUUUUUACUGGCGUUUCCUCACCAUCCUCUGCCUCUACCACUAAAAGUGCCAAAAAAUAUGUUUAGGUUCUGCAUUCUUCCCCACAUCACUGAUUGAAGAAAAAUGCUUGGCGGGGGAAAACUUAUGCUCCAUAUAUUGGUUCCACCUGUUCCCUUAGCAUGGGUAAUAAACCGGUUUCACAUCAUUCAGGUGUUUGGCCUUGUUGAUGUUAAUGAUGCCAUAACUGAAAGGCUAAGUUUUUGCAUGUUUUUAUUAUAUUACUGUUAAUACACUGCAUAUCUACUAUUUGUACUACUCUAUGUAUGUCUUAUACCACACCGCCUGUCUAUACAAUAUAAUACUAACCUUGCUUUGCGGUUUCUUCAACUGCCUCUCUUCUCCUUUGUGCAUGUUCGAUCUUCGUGAUAUUUGUGAAAUGGCUGUAGCACUCUGUGUGGUAGCCAAUGUCAGCUGGUUUGACUAAAUGGUUUGUAGGUUCCUGGCUUUCUAACUUGUGUGCCUGUAGUGCCUCUUCUGCUAUAAUGCUUUUUCUGCACUCAAGGUCUUUCCACAGAAACACUGAUUUAAUACAUGUCUAGGGUGACCACCUGCUAGGGGUAUGUAACUGAGGGACAAUGUGGGACACUCCCUGGCCCGGCCGUGCACCCAACCCACGGGUCGACUUAUCGAUAGUGGUUUACCCAUUUCUAGCACAUACCACCU